UCGGGAAUUUUGGGCAAUGGGGGAAACCCUGACCCAGCAACGCCGCGUGAAGGAUGAAGUAUUUCGGUAUGUAAACUUCGAAAGAAUAGGAAGAAUUAAUGACGGUACUAUUUAUAAGGUCCGGCUAACUACGUGCCAGCAGCCGCGGUAAUACGUAGGGACCAAGCGUUGUUCGGAUUUACUGGGCGUAAAGGGCGCGUAGGCGGCAUGACAAGUCACUUGUGAAAUCUCCGGGCUUAACUCGGAACGGCCAAGUGAUACUGUCACGCUAGAGUGCAGAAGGGGCAAUCGGAAUUCUUGGUGUAGCGGUGAAAUGCGUAGAUAUCAAGAGGAACACCUGAGGUGAAGACGGGUUGCUGGGCUGACACUGACGCUGACAGCGCGAAAGCCAGGGGAGCAAA
rnacentral:rRNA from 1 species